rnacentral:rRNA from 1 species
CCUACGGGUGGCAGCAGUGGGGAAUAUUGCACAAUGGGCGCAAGCCUGAUGCGGCCAUGCCGCGUGUGUGAAGAAGGCCUUCGGGUUGUAAAGCACUUUCAGCGGGGAGGAAGGCGGUGAGGUUAAUAACCUCAUCGAUUGACGUUACCCGCAGAAGAAGCACCGGCUAACUCCGUGCCAGCAGCCGCGGUAAUACGGAGGGUGCAAGCGUUAAUCGGAAUUACUGGGCGUAAAGCGCACGCAGGCGGUCUGUCAAGUCGGAUGUGAAAUCCCCGGGCUCAACCUGGGAACUGCAUUCGAAACUGGCAGGCUAGAGUCUUGUAGAGGGGGGUAGAAUUCCAGGUGUGGCGGUGAAAUGCGUAAAGAUCUGGAGGAAUACCGGUGGCGAAGGCGGCCCCCUGGACAAAGACUGACGCUCAGGUGCGAAAGCGUGGGGAGCAAACAGGAUUAGAUACCCGGGUAGUC